AGUCGAACGGGAAACUUUCAUUGAAGCUUCGGCAGAUUUGGUCUGUUUCUAGUGGCGGACGGGUGAGUAACGCGUGGGUAACCUGCCUUAUACAGGGGGAUAACAACCAGAAAUGGUUGCUAAUACCGCAUAAGCGCACAGGACCGCAUGGUCCGGUGUGAAAAACUCCGGUGGUAUAAGAUGGACCCGCGUUGGAUUAGCUAGUUGGCAGGGUAACGGCCUACCAAGGCGACGAUCCAUAGCCGGCCUGAGAGGGUGAACGGCCACAUUGGGACUGAGACACGGCCCAGACUCCUACGGGAGGCAGCAGUGGGGAAUAUUGCACAAUGGGGGAAACCCUGAUGCAGCGACGCCGCGUGAAGGAAGAAGUAUCUCGGUAUGUAAACUUCUAUCAGCAGGGAAGAUAGUGACGGUACCUGACUAAGAAGCCCCGGCUAACUACGUGCCAGCAGCCGCGGUAAUACGUAGGGGGCAAGCGUUAUCCGGAUUUACUGGGUGUAAAGGGAGCGUAGACGGACUGGCAAGUCUGAUGUGAAAGGCGGGGGCUCAACCCCUGGACUGCAUUGGAAACUGUUAGUCUUGAGUGCCGGAGAGGUAAGCGGAAUUCCUAGUGUAGCGGCGAAAUGCGUAGAUAUUAGGAGGAACACCAGUGGCGAAGGCGGCUUACUGGACGGUAACUGACGUUGAGGCUCGAAAGCGUGGGGAGCAAA
rnacentral:rRNA from 1 species